AAAGAAGAAGAGAAAGAAAAGAGAAAGUGCAGUCUGGGUUCCAACUCGAGGGAAAUCCUGCAUAUGUUCCCUUCCCUCUCCUCCCCCUAGACUGGGAAGUGGGGGCCAGCCCAGCUGCCCGCUCCCCUCAAUAUACCAGGUGCCAGAACACAGCUGUUUCUUCAUUGUUCCCCAACCCAGGCGGACUGUAAUUGGUGGGGCAGAGCAGGGCGGGGCUACCCCUGUGCUGAAUCCAGUGGGGCUAUCUCCACUCCAGGCAAAUCCAGCCAGAGACUGAUUCUGAGCAGCAGUUCUGCCCGGUGAGAGCUGCC
rnacentral:lncRNA from 1 species